ensembl:lncRNA
GUUUCCUCAGUUUACUCCCGUGUAUUUGUGGAUCAGAUCCUCUAGUACUUUAAGAUCACUGUGCACUAAGAUCCUGCGUCCAAUAUUCCUUAAAUAUUUGGUUAUUCCCCUUUUCUCAAUGUGUAUUCACUGAAAUGACCAUAGGUCCCUUUAGGCAAGGACAGAGGAAAUCUUUACAGUAUAUAUUUGUUGGGUGUGUUGCAGGUCCUUCUUCCUGGGGACCUGGCCAUCUCUUCAUUCAAUGGGUUCAAUCUAGAAAUGGAACCUAGGUCUCAGGUCUGGAAAUUGAGCAAGGCAUUGUGACUUUUUUUGUUUGUUGAGGAAGAUUCACCCUGAGCUAAUAUCUGUGCCAGUCUUCCUCUAUUUUUUAGUAUGUGGGCUGCCAGCACAGCAUGGGCACUAAGAGAGCAGUGUAGGUCUGCUCUUGGGAACAAAACCCAGGCCACUGAAGCAGAGCAUGACGAACUAACCACUCGGGCACUGGGGCUGGCCCCAUUAUGCCUUUUUAUUGGGACCUCUGUCCUUAGCCUCCUGCUCCUCCAUUCUUACCUUCUGAUUGUAGGUGUUAAGUAAUACCCUUGAAGGGUGCCUGGCUAUUUUGUCCCUAGGAGCCCCAAAUUCUAUUAAUCAUCUCCCUGCCAGUCAAGUUCUCUUGGCUGCCUCUUUAAUCUUGUCGGUUGUUAUGGUGACUGUGGCCCCCUGGCUUCUGGCAGUUAAGUCCUGCUACCUGGUCUCUCUCUCUUUCAGGGCUCAUCAUGUCCAUCACUCUUAAUGAUGGCUCUGUGACCUCCUCUCAAACCUUCAGGCUUGGUCUACAGAGAACCAACACUGAAGUUCUUAGUGAUACCACUCGUCUUUGUUAAGAGCUAGCACUUCCCCCCUGUGAGAAGACUCUGCUGAGGCCUCUCCACCACAAGGCAAUUGGUAGCCCUCAGAGUUGCCCCCACUUCCUGUCCUGACUGACGGGCAGAUAACUAUUGCUAAAUCCCAGUGCAAUACAGCUAGGGAAGUUCUGGGCCUGAAGGAACUGCAAGAAGGAACUGGAUGGUGAGAGAGGCACCAGCAUCACUAAGAACUUCAGUAGCGGCUCUUCUUUGUGGUCUGGGGCUGAUGGUCCCCACUCUAACUAUGAAGUCCUGUGAUUGCUCCUUAGCUGUGUUCUCUCUUCCACCGCAUGGAGAUAAGGAUGUCUUGGAAGCAAUACCGCCACAAGAUAAGUUGGCUCUCACACUUAGCCUUUAACUGUUUGUUAACUGCCUUCAGUUUCUCAUUAUCCCUCUGAAGGGCUUCAAUUCACUUAGUAAUAACAGCCUCUGUCCUUGCAGGCAUUUUCCCUUCUGUGUCUUUUAAAGGCCUGAAUUAUUGCAUUGGUUAGCCUGUUUUUCUCCACUGGAUGUUUCCCCAGGUGAUUAUCUGUGAAAUAUUCAGAGGUUGAACAACCACCCUGUGCCAGAGACAAAUCUGUGGCCAGUAUUCCACUGAGGUUGGGAUUCUCCUUGCCAGCCAGUGAGUGAGCUGGUCUCUACCCUAUAGGCUGCCUCCUUGGACCAUUCCCAGCACCAGCUAUUCAGUUCAGUGUAUGUGCAGAGCAGGUACCAUGAUGGAAUUAGAGGAGUAGGAGAUUUAUUGGGAGGAAACACCUGUGAAGGAUAAAGUGGAGCAGGAGCAGGGAUUAGCUAGGAAAGACUUGAGAUUAUGAUGUGGGUCUGACACCUGAGAAAGGAGAGAGGGAAGGAAGGAGCAGCUCUGAGAAAGUCUUUCCCAGGCCUGUGAGGCACCUGUGAUAAAGACUGCUCACUAGAGGAGUCUCCCAUUGGGCAGUAAUAGUCUGCUUCUAGUAGACUCACUAUAUUCAGUCACAGGGAACAGCCUGGGAGGAGGGUGGCGUUGGUGUGAACACUGUGGUGGAUGCUGAAGGCACAGCAGGUAGAGGCUGUCAGCCAAGAUCCUCGUUGGUACAAGUUAUCUCUUGAAAGGAAAUGUGAGCCAUGCACACCCAUGGCUGCCACUUCUAUCCUUUCCCCACUGACCUGUAACGCCUGCUUUGUCAUAAAUCAGGUUUCUUUGUUUCCGUGGGUUUAUUUUUGAGUUCUCUGUCCUGUUUCGGUGAUUUUCAUAUGUAUCCCUGUGCCAGUACCACCUUAUCUUAAUUAGAAGAGCUUUCUUUUAAGUCUUGUUAUUUGCUGAAAGCAAGCACCUCCACGUUGUUCUUCUUAUCCAGGUUUAUCUGGGCUGUUCUUGUUCCUUUCCUCUUUCAUAUAAAUUUUCAGAUCAGCUUAUCAAGUUCCAUAAACAGCCUUUUAGUGUUUUGACUGGAAUUGCAUUGAAUAUUUAAGAUCAAUGGGAAGAACCGACAUCUUUAUGAUACUGAGUCUUCAAAUCCAAUGACGUGGUACAUCCUUCCAUUUAUCUGUCUUUUUAAAUGUCUUUCAAUAUUUUAUAUUUUUUUCCAGAAAAGGUUUGCAUAUCUUUUUAAAGAUUCAUCAUUGAUAUUUUAAAUUUUUGUCGCUGAUGUAAAUGGUAUCUUUUCUUUUAAAAAGUUACAUUUUCUGUUUCUUGCUGGUGGGCAGUCAUGCCUUUCAGAAUUAUCUCACCUUGAGGCAAAGGAGCCUGGCCCUUAUACCCCUCAUCAACCAGGCACUGGGUAAGGAUUGCCCUCAGGGACUGGGUAUGGCCCUUGUGAGAAGUCUCUUGGCCUGAGGACAAUGCCUGCAGUGUGACUCAGCUGAGAGCUGUCAGCUGCCAACAGUCCCACCAGCUGGGCGAAGACUCCUCUGUCCCGAAGGGGGAAUCUCGGCAGAGUAUCACAGCAAGCGCUAAAUGCCCUUGAACAGGUUGACGAAGCUUUCUUUUAUUCUGUUUGUUACAUGUUCCUGCUUUGGUAAA